rnacentral:misc_RNA from 1 species
AGAAAAUCCAUUAGCAAACCCAUCCAGAGAGUCCAGAGCUUUCUCUUGAAAGUUAUCAGAUACAAUCAAGAUCCCCUACAGCUUAGCUGUUUAUUUUUUAGACCCUAUUGCCCAUACGCCCAUAACACCUUUGUCAGUUUUCUUUAUAUAUAUAUAUAGAGAUAGAUUCGUAGAUUCGUCUAUGUAUAGAGAGAUAGCCAUGUUCUCUUUAACAUCAGGCAAGAAUAACAGUACUACUUCUGCUGCAAAAGAGAUUAUUAGAGAGAAGAGAAUGAAG